UUGGACCUGGUUGUGUUAGAUAUGUCUGUUUGUCAGCAUUCAUCAUACAUAAACCACGCAUAUACAUGCAUAAUUUUAACAUUCAAAUAUUCAUGUUGCAUUUUUUCCAUAUAUCUUUGUUUGUUAUCUUCUGCUAUUUGGUGAUAUUCUUCCCCAAGCAGAUGUUGCUGUUUGAUCUCUCCAUAUAGAGUCAGCCCCAUAGGCAGAAAAUGUAUACCCUUUC
rnacentral:lncRNA from 1 species